ACUCAAAUGAAUUGACGGGGACCCGCACAACUGGUGGAGCGUGUGGUUUAAUUCGAGACAAAGCGAAAAACCUUACCAGGGCUUGACAUGCUAUCGUUUUAUUCCCUUGGAAACUUGGGAAGAUCCGUAAGGAUGAUAGUACAGGUGAUGCAUGGCUGUCGUCAGCUCGUGCCGUGAGGUGUUCCCUUAAGUGGGGAAACGAGCGCAACCCUUGUCGAAUGUUACAUUUCAUUCGAGACGGUCUCAGCUUAGCUGAGAAGGAAGGAGAGGAAGACGUCAAGUCAGCACGUCCCUUAUGCCCUGGGUUACACACACCCUACAAUGGCGAAGAACAAUGGGCCGCAAGCUAGUAAUAGCAAGCAAAUCUCACAAAUUUCGCCUCAGUUCAGAUUGAGGGCUGCAACUCGCCCUCAUGAAGGAGGAAUCAGUAGUAAUCGCAGAUCAGAAGGCUGCGGUGAAUACGUUCUCGGGUCUUGUACACACCGCCCGU
rnacentral:rRNA from 1 species